rnacentral:rRNA from 1 species
UACGAAGGGUGCAAGCGUUACUCGGAAUUACUGGGCGUAAAGCGUGCGUAGGCGGUUUGUUAAGUCUGCUGUGAAAGCCCCGGGCUCAACCUGGGAACGGCAGUGGAUACUGGCAAGCUAGAGUGUGUCAGAGGAUGGUGGAAUUCCCGGUGUAGCGGUGAAAUGCGUAGAGAUCGGGAGGAACAUCAGUGGCGAAGGCAAUCCCCUGGGCCUGCACUGACGCUCAUGCACGAAAGCGUGGGGAGCAAACAGG